CAAUAAGCGGAGGAAAAGAAACUAACAAGGAUUCCCCUAGUAACUGCGAGUGAAGCGGGAAAAGCUCAAAUUUAAAAUCUGGCGGUCUCCGGCCGUCCGAGUUGUAAUCUAGAGAAGUGUUAUCCGCGCUGGACCGUGUACAAGUCUCCUGGAAUGGAGCGUCAUAGAGGGUGAGAAUCCCGUCUUUGACACGGACUGCCAGGGCUUUGUGAUGCGCUCUCAAAGAGUCGAGUUGUUUGGGAAUGCAGCUCAAAAUGGGUGGUAAAUUCCAUCUAAAGCUAAAUAUUGGCGAGAGACCGAUAGCGAACAAGUACCGUGAGGGAAAGAUGAAAAGAACUUUGGAAAGAGAGUUAAACAGUACGUGAAAUUGCUGAAAGGGAAACGCUUGAAGUCAGUCGCGUUGGCCGGGGAUCAACCUUGCUUUUGCUGGGUGUACUUUCCGGUCGACGGGUCAGCAUCAAUUUUGACCGUUGGAUAAAGUUCAGGGGAAUGUGGCAUCUUCGGAUGUGUUAUAGCCCUUGGUCGCAUACAACGAUUGGGAUUGAGGAACUCAGCACGCCGCAAGGCCGGGUACUUGUACCACGUUCGUGCUUAGGAUGCUGGCAUAAUGGCUUUAAUCGACCCGUCUUGAAACACGGACCAAGGAGUCUAACAUGCCUGCGAGUGUUUGGGUGGAAAACCCGGGCGCGUAAUGAAAGUGAAAGUUGAGAUCCCUGUCGCGGGGAGCAUCGACGCCCGGACCAGACCUUUUGUGACGGAUCCGCGGUAGAGCAUGUAUGUUGGGACCCGAAAGAUGGUGAACUAUGCCUGAAUAGGGUGAAGCCAGAGGAAACUCUGGUGGAGGCUCGUAGCGAUUCUGACGUGCAAAUCGAUCGUCAAAUUUGGGUAUAGGGGCGAAAGACUAAUCGAACCAUCUAGUAGCUGGUUCCUGC
rnacentral:ncRNA from 1 species